GUGCUGGCUUCAGCAGCACAUAAUACUAAAAUCGGAACAAUACAGAGAUUAGCGUGGCCCCUGCACAAGGAUGACACAGAAUUCAUAAAAGUUUCCAUGAGAGAU